AAGUCGUAAAAGGUUUCCGUAGGUGAACCUGCGGAAGGAUCAUUAACACGUAUCCAACGUUAAAACAACCCCGUGAACUUUCAGCUUGCUCCUGUAGCCCGUGAAAGCAGCAAUCCCUGGUAAAUCAUUGUUGACCAGCUUUUGAGUCAGGGACCUCACCUGGCAUCCCCAAGUAAUCAGUGUUCUGAAAGUGUCAUUGAUUGUGUAAGGAUGGCGCAGUCACGAUCGCUGUAGGGUCACCGGCUCUGCUCCUUUACGCAACUACAGUCUAACUUCGCCGCGCGCGAAAUUCGCACCAAAAACCGAACAACUGUUAACAAUGGAUAUCUUGGUUCUC
rnacentral:misc_RNA from 1 species